UACGAAGGGGCUAGCGUUGUUCGGAAUACUGGGCGUAAAGCGCGCGCAGGCGGCUAUCCAAGUCAGUGGUGAAAGCCCGGAGCUCAACUCCGGAACUGCCAUUGAAACUGUUUAGCUUGAGGAUGAGAGAGGUGAGUGGAAUUCCCAGUGUAGAGGUGAAAAUUCGUAGAUAUUGGGAAGAACACCAGUGGCGAAGGCGGCUCACUGGCCCGGUACUGACGCUGAGGUGGCGAAAGCG
rnacentral:rRNA from 1 species